AGGACGAACGCUGGCGGCGUGCUUAACACAUGCAAGUCGAACGAGGCGCUUGCGCCUAGUGGCGAACGGGUGAGUAACACGUGAGCAACCUGCCCUUGGCUCUGGGAUAGCCUCCGGAAACGGGGAUUAAUACCGGACAUGACCUUCUCCUGCAUGGGGGAGGGUGGAAAGUUUUUCGGCCAGGGAGGGGCUCGCGGCCUAUCAGCUUGGUUGGGGGGUAACGGCCCACCAAGGCGACGACGGGUAGCCGGCCUGAGAGGGCGACCGGCCACACUGGGACUGAGACACGGCCCAGACUCCUACGGGAGGCAGCAGUGGGGAAUAUUGCACAAUGGGGGAAACCCUGAUGCAGCGACGCCGCGUGCGGGAUGAAGGCCUUCGGGUUGUAAACCGCUUUCAGCAGGGGCGAAUUCAGACGGUACCUGCAGAAGAAGCGCCGGCUAACUACGUGCCAGCAGCCGC
rnacentral:rRNA from 1 species